AGAGUUUGAUCCUGGCUCAGAUUGAACGCUGGCGGCAGGCCUAACACAUGCAAGUCGAACGGUAGCACAGAGGAGCUUGCUCCUUGGGUGACGAGUGGCGGACGGGUGAGUAAUGUCUGGGAAACUGCCCGAUGGAGGGGGAUAACUACUGGAAACGGUAGCUAAUACCGCAUAACGUCGCAAGACCAAAGAGGGGGACCUUCGGGCCUCUUGCCAUCGGAUGUGCCCAGAUGGGAUUAGCUAGUAGGUGGGGUAACGGCUCACCUAGGCGACGAUCCCUAGCUGGUCUGAGAGGAUGACCAGCCACACUGGAACUGAGACACGGUCCAGACUCCUACGGGAGGCAGCAGUGGGGAAUAUUGCACAAUGGGCGCAAGCCUGAUGCAGCCAUGCCGCGUGUAUGAAGAAGGCCUUCGGGUUGUAAGGUACUUUCAGCGAGGAGGAAGGCGUUGUGGUUAAUAACCGCAACGAUUGACGUUACUCGCAGAAGAAGCACCGGCUAACUCCGUGCCAGCCGCCGCGGUAAAAGGG
rnacentral:rRNA from 1 species